rnacentral:lncRNA from 1 species
UGCUUUUGGGUCUUUUAUUUUUACAACCCCAUUUCUCACAUAGGUAGAUGAUGAGCAGUACAAUUCAGAGCUUUUCGUUUGUUCACUCAGUCAUAUGUUAACGUCUGUUCUUGCCUUUGCAUGUUUAACAUGAACAACAAUUCUGUAUAUUAACUGUUGACUCAGAAGAGGCAGGAGAUUAUUGAAAGAUUCCAGCUUCUAUUGUAAGAUAGAGCCCAGUAGGAGUUCUCAAACUCAUUUACAUGUGCAAAAAAAUAUCUGGCAAUAUAACUUUAAACUAUUUGUUAAAUAAUAAAUAUAUCAUUUGGCCCAGCUUAUCCUCUAUAUUAUGGUACAAGACAAACAAUAUAUACAUUGUGUAGCACUAUUUAUAGAUGCCAUGCUGUAAAUAUGACAUACAUCAUAUUGACAGAUUAAUCUCACAUAUGCUAUGAAAAUAUAUGAAUUUAUAACAUGUAGCCAUACUCAGGAAUAUGUGCCCUAUAUUUCUCUGAAGCAAGAGGCCUUUUACUUGGCUAUCAUGAUUACAAACAUACAUACAGAGAUACAUAUCUUUAAAAUUUUGCAUGCUUAUCACUUAAAAUUGAAUAAUCUUUUCUUUAAGAUGUAAUACCAGAGUUGGAAACAUUUUUAAAAAACAUUUACAUCGGGGAUUCCUGAAUGGCUCAGUGGUUUAGGGCCUGCAUUCAGUUCAGGGUGUGAUCCUGGAGUCCAGGGAUCGAGCCCCGCAUCGGGUUUCCUGCGUGGAGCCUGCUUCUCCCUCAGCCUCCGUCUCUGCCUCUCUCUGUGUGUCUCUCAUGAAUAAAUAAAUAAAGUCUUAAAAAAAAAAAAAACAUUUACAUGGACACAUUUUUCUAUAUUCUUUUAAAUCAUUAUUUUUGUCCUCAAAAUGAAUACCUUGAUGUACAACAGGACUAGACCAUUUGCUGGAUGCUUUUGUCUACAAAAGCACAUUCACUGUACACCGAGGCUCACUCUCCCAUUGGGCAUCCUGUUGUUUAAGUAGAACUUCCUGCCAAAGACUUUUCUACACUCCUGGCAGAGAAUUUCUAUAAACAAGUUUUUGGAUAUAGAGAGAAGUGUGAUUAUUUUCUUAAAAGUUUCUCAUAUUCACUAUAUUCCUAGGGUUUGUGUUCUAUGUGAGUUCUCGGAUAUAUUAUGAGGUAUUAUUUCUGGGAGAAGGCUUUCCCACAUGUACUGCAUCUGUAGGGCUUCUCUCCUAUGUGAGUUCACUGAUGUAUAAUCAGUUGCGACUUCCAAAUAAAUGCUUUUGUACAUUCAUUACAUCUGUAGGAUUUUUCUCCUGAAUGGGUUUUCUGAUGUCUAAUGAGGAAUGACUUCCCACUGAUAGCUUUCCCACAUUCACUACAUCUAUAUGGUUUCUCUCCUGAAUGAAUUCUUUGAUGCUUAAUGAGACUUGACUUCUCUCUGAAGGCUUUCCCACAUUCACCACAUUUAUUGGCCUUUUCAUCUAUAUGGGUUCUCUUAUGAGCAAUAAGUUGUGAUUUCCCACUAAAGGCUUUCCCACAGUCACCACAGGCAUAGGGUUUCUCUCCUGUGUGACUUCACUGAUGAAUGAUGAGCUGUGAUGUCUGAGAGAAGACUUUGCUACAGUCACUGCAUUCAUCGGGUUUCUCUCCUGUGUGAGUUCUCUGAUGUAUAAGGAGAUGCGACUUCCCAGAGAAUGCCUUACCACACUCACAUCCACAAAGUUUUUCUCCUGAGUGAAUUGUCUGAUGUGCAACAUGGUAUGACUUCUGGGAAAAGGCUUUGCCACAUUCACUGCAUUUAAAUGGUUUCUCUCCUGUGUGUGUUCUCUGAUGUACAAUGAGUCGUGACUUUUUUUUUUUUUUUUUUUUUGUAUAUGUGCUGCCGAAGCGAGCACCGAGUCGUGACUUCUUGCUGAUGAUUUUUCCACAUUUGUUACAUUCAUAGUAUUAAUUAAUCUAAUGUGAGUUUUUUCAUGUUUGGUAUAGGGGAAGGAUUUCUCAUACCCAUUGAACUUACCAGCUUUCUUUUUUUAAUUUUUUUUUUUUUUUUUUACUUAUUUAUUCAUGAGAGACACAGAGAGAGAGAGAGAGAGGCA